rnacentral:rRNA from 1 species
AUUGAACGCUGGCGGCAUGCUUUACACAUGCAAGUCGAACGGUAACAGGCCGCAAGGUGCUGACGAGUGGCGAACGGGUGAGUAAUGCAUCGGAACGUGCCCAGUCGUGGGGGAUAACUGCUCGAAAGAGCAGCUAAUACCGCAUACGGUCUAUGGAUGAAAGCGGGGGACCGUAAGGCCUCGCGCGAUUGGAGCGGCCGAUGUCAGAUUAGGUAGUUGGUGGGGUAAAGGCUCACCAAGCCAACGAUCUGUAGCUGGUCUGAGAGGACGACCAGCCACACUGGGACUGAGACACGGCCCAGACUCCUACGGGAGGCAGCAGUGGGGAAUUUUGGACAAUGGGGGCAACCCUGAUCCAGCAAUGCCGCGUGCAGGAAGAGGGCCUUCGGGUUGUAAACUGCUUUUGUACGGAACGAAACGGUCUGGGUUAAUACCCUGGGCUAAUGACGGUACCGUAAGAAUAAGCACCGGCUAACUACGUGCCAGCCGCCGCCGUAAGAC